rnacentral:rRNA from 1 species
UACAGAGACUGCAAGCGUUAUUCGGAUUCACUGGGCGUAAAGGGUGCGCAGGCGGCCAAGUGUGUCAGGUGUGAAAUCCCGGGGCUUAACUCCGGAACUGCGCCUGAAACUACUUGGCUAGAGCAUUGGAGAGGGAAGUGGAAUUCACGGUGUAGCAGUGAAAUGCGUAGAUAUCGUGAGGAACACCAGAGGCGAAGGCGACUUCCUGGACAAUUGCUGACGCUGAGGCACGAAAGCGUGGGGAGCAAACAGG